AGAGUUUGAUCAUGGCUCAGGAUGAACGCUAGCGGGAGGCCUAACACAUGCAAGCCGAGCGGUAUUGUUUCUUCGGAAAUGAGAGAGCGGCGUACGGGUGCGGAACACGUGUGCAACCUACCUUUAUCUGGAGGAUAGCCUUUCGAAAGGAAGAUUAAUACUCCAUAAUAUAUUGACUGGCAUCAGUUGAUAUUGAAAGCUCCGGCGGAUAAAGAUGGGCACGCGCAAGAUUAGCUAGUUGGUGAGGUAACGGCUCACCAAGGCGAUGAUCUUUAGGGGCCUGAGAGGGUGAUCCCCCACACUGGUACUGAGACACGGACCAGACUCCUACGGGAGGCAGCAGUGAGGAAUAUUGGUCAAUGGGUGCAAGCCUGAACCAGCCAUCCCGCGUGAAGGACGACUGCCCUAUGGGUUGUAAACUUCUUUUGUAUAGGGAUAAACCUACUCUCGUGAGGGUAGCUGAAGGUACUAUACGAAUAAGCACCGGCUAACUCCGUG
rnacentral:rRNA from 1 species